rnacentral:rRNA from 1 species
AGAGCGAACGCUGGCGGCAGGCUUAACACAUGCAAGUCGAGCGGGCGUAGCAAUACGUCAGCGGCAGACGGGUGAGUAACGCGUGGGAACAUACCCUCCGGUUCGGAAUAGCUCAGGGAAACUUGGAUUAAUACCGGAUACGGCCUAGCGGCGAAAGAUUCAUCGCCGGAGGAUUGGCCCGCGUCUGAUUAGCUAGUUGGUGGGGUAAUGGCCCACCAAGGCGACGAUCAGUAGCUGGUCUGAGAGGAUGAUCAGCCACAUUGGGACUGAGACACGGCCCAAACUCCUACGGGAGGCAGCAGUGGGGAAUAUUGGACAAUGGGCGCAAGCCUGAUCCAGCCAUGCCGCGUGAGUGAUGACGGCCUUAGGGUUGUAAAGCUCUUUCGCUAGGGACGAUAAUGACGGUACCUAGACAAGAACGCCCGGCUAACUUCGUGCCAGCAGCCGC